UGAAGGUGAUGAACUGUUUUAGCCUGACUUUGCAUCGCAGAGGCAAAAAACUAAUAUAAUAUAU
rnacentral:snoRNA from 1 species